AACGUUGGCCCGUAAUCCGGGUUGCGGACAGUGUCUGGUGGGUAGUUUGACUGGGGCGGUCUCCUCCUAAAGAGUAACGGAGGAGCACGAAGGUUGGCUAAUCCUGGUCGGACAUCAGGAGGUUAGUGCAAUGGCAUAAGCCAGCUUGACUGCGAGCGUGACGGCGCGAGCAGGUGCGAAAGCAGGUCAUAGUGAUCCGGUGGUUCUGAAUGGAAGGGCCAUCGCUCAACGGAUAAAAGGUACUCCGGGGAUAACAGGCUGAUACCGCCCAAGAGUUCAUAUCGACGGCGGUGUUUGGCACCUCGAUGUCGGCUCAUCACAUCCUGGGGCUGAAGUAGGUCCCAAGGGUAUGGCUGUUCGCCAUUUAAAGUGGUACGCGAGCUGGGUUUAGAACGUCGUGAGACAGUUCGGUCCCUAUCUGCCGUGGGCGCUGGAGAACUGAGGGGGGCUGCUCCUAGUACGAGAGGACCGGAGUGGACGCAUCACUGGUGUUCGGGUUGUCAUGCCAAUGGCACUGCCCGGUAGCUAAAUGCGGAAGAGAUAAGUGCUGAAAGCAUCUAAGCACGAAACUUGCCCCGAGAUGAGUUCUCCCUGACUCCUUGAGAGUCCUGAAGGAACGUUGAAGACGACGACGUUGAUAGGCCGGGUGUGUAAGCGCAGCGAUGCGUUGAGCUAACCGGUACUAAUGAACCGUGAGGCUUAACCUU
rnacentral:rRNA from 1 species